AGUGAACGCUGGCGGCGUGCCUAAUACAUGCAAGUCGAACGGAGUGGCGCACGGGUGAGUAAUAUAUAGCUAAUCUGCCCCUUGCUGGAGGACAACAGUUAGAAAUGACUGCUAAUACUCCAUAGCAAGGGAUGAGACGAUAUCGUAUCAGCUAGUCGGUGGGGUAACGGCCUACCGAGGCUAUGACGCGUAACUGGUCAGAGAGGAUGAUCAGUCAAGUUGGAACUGAGACACGGUCCAAACUCCUACGGGAGGCAGCAGUAGUGAAGAGUACGCAAGGGGGGAAACUCUGACGCAUCAACGCCGCGUGGAGAAUGACACUUUUCGGAGCGUAAACUCCUUUUGGUAGGGAAGCGGUACCUAACGAAUAAGCACCGGCUAACUCCGUGCCAGCCGCCGCGGUAAUUC
rnacentral:rRNA from 1 species